AUAUUGUUUAGUGUAUGCCAAUGCCUCUAGUUCCCCCAUUUUGUUAUUUAGGCUCCUUGCAUUAGUAAGCAUACAUUUAAUAUUAUGCGCCACUUGUAUAUUUUGUGAAUUUUCAACAUUACACAGCUUCUCUGUUCUGAGCUUGCCCCUCCCCCCGUUUCCACCCCCCUUAUACUGUGCUAAAGCCCAUCUCCUUUCUGUCCUAU